AUCUACAGCCAUGCCACCCUGAAUGCGCCUGAUCUCGUAAGCUAAGCAGGGUCGGUUAGCAGAUGGACAGGAAGAGCUGGUUGCUGCUGCAGUGG
rnacentral:rRNA from 1 species